rnacentral:rRNA from 1 species
AUAUCAAUAAGCGGAGGAAAAGAAACCAACAGGGAUUGCCCCAGUAACGGCGAGUGAAGCGGCAAGAGCUCAAAUUUGAAAUCUGGCCUCCCCCGGGGGCCCGAGUUGUAAUUUGCAGAGGAUGUUUCGGGUGCGGCCGCCGUCUAAGUUCCUUGGAACAGGACGUCAGAGAGGGUGAGAAUCCCGUCUUGGGCGGGCGGUCCGCGCCCGUGUGAAGCUCCUUCGACGAGUCGAGUUGUUUGGGAAUGCAGCUCUAAGCGGGUGGUAAAUUUCAUCUAAAGCUAAAUAUUGGCCGGAGACCGAUAGCGCACAAGUAGAGUGAUCGAAAGGUUAAAAGCACCUUGAAAAGGGAGUUAAACAGCACGUGAAAUUGUUGAAAGGGAAGCGCUUGCGGCCAGACUCGGGGGCGGGGUUCAGCGGGUGCUCGUCGCCCGUGUAUUCCUCGUUUCCCGGGCCAGCAUCAGUUUCGACGGCCGGUCAAAGGCCCCCGGAAUGUGUCGUCUCUCGGGACGUCUUAUAGCCGGGGGUGCAAUGCGGCCCGUCGGGACUGAGGAACGCGCUCCGGCUCGGAUGCUGGCGUAAUGGCCGUAAGCGGC